rnacentral:rRNA from 1 species
UACAUGCAAGUCGAGCGGACCGACCGGGAGCUUGCUCCCUUAGGCCAGCGGCGGACGGGUGAGUAACACGUGGGUAACCUGCCUGUAAGACUGGGAUAACUCCGGGAAACCGGGGCUAAUACCGGAUGCUUGAUUGAGCCGCAUGGUUCAAUUAUAAAAAGGUGGCUUUCAGCUACCACUUACAGAUGGACCCGCGGCGCAUUAGCUAGUUGGCGAGGUAACGGCUCACCAAGGCGACGAUGCGUAGCCGACCUGAGAGGGUGAUCGGCCACACUGGGACUGAGACACGGCCCAGACUCCUACGGGAGGCAGCAGUAGGGAAUCUUCCGCAAUGGAACGAAAGUCUGACGGAGCAACGCCGCGUGAGUGAUGAAGGUUUUCGGAUUGUAAACUUCUUUGAUUGGGGACGAUAAUGACGGUACCCAAAAAACAAGCCACGGCUAACUACGUGCCAGCAGCCGC